AUUGAACGCUGGCGGCAUGCCUAAUACAUGCAAGUCGAGCGCCGCGGCGGACGGGUGAGUAAUGCCUAGGAAUCUACCUGUUAGUAGCGUAUAACGUCCAGGAGCGGGAGCUAAUGACGCAUGCUAUCAGAUGCCUCUAGGUCGGCUGAGCUAGAUGGGGGGGUAAAGGCCUACCAAGGCGACGAUCCGUAACUGGUCUGAGAGGAUGAUCCGUCACACUGGAACUGAGACACGGGCCAGACUCCUACGGGAGGCAGCAGUGGGGAAUAUUGGACAAUGGGCGAAAGCCUGAUCGAGCCAUGCCGCGUGUGUGAAGAAGGUCUUCGGAUUGUAAAGCACUUUAAGUUGGGAGGCGUUACCAACAGAAUAAGCACCGGCUAACUUCGUGCCAGCAGCCGCGGUAAUUC
rnacentral:rRNA from 1 species